GGGUCAAUGAUGACUAGCCCACUGCGCAAGCUGAUCAGUGCCGAGCAGUUUUGAGGGCACUGCUGGAGAAAUCAGUGCUGUUGAUUGGCUGAGACCC
rnacentral:snoRNA from 1 species